GCCUAGAACAGAGCCCUGGGGGACACCAGUGGUGAGAGCGCAUGGUGCGGAGACAGAUUCUCGCCACGCCACCUGGUAGGAGCGACCUGUCAGGUAGGACGCAAUCCAAGCGUGGGCCGCGCCGGAGAUGCCCAACUCGGAGAGGGUGGAUAGGCCUUUAGGCAAUGACAAAAUGAAGAGUAGGACCCAAUUUACCAAUACAAAUAUCACCCCAAUCACUGGUAGUUGAUUUUAGUUGACUGACAGUGUUGCAUAUGAUCGAUCCAUUAUUAUACAAAUGCAUUCAGUCAUUAAUUGAUCAAUCAAGGCUGUAUAGGAAAAAAUAUAACUAUUUUUAUUUUAGAGACCCUUCAAAACGAAAAGCGUAAACAUGUAUAGUAUUACAAAGUGAACACCACAGCUGUUGUACAUUGAAGACAGGAGGAGAUAAAGAUUGAUGGGUGGUGCUGCCGCCUCCUCCCUGUAUGUUUCUAUGGGCUGCAUUCGGAAAGCGUAGUAGGUCUCUGCUUUUAAUAACUACACACUCCUGAGCUGUUUUCUUUAAGUCUUUUUCAAUAACAAUUUCUGUCUCUUCCCAAAUAUUCUCCUCAAAUAGUUCCCUGUGAUAAGGUCUGACACCCUUGCAAGAUCUACAAAAGAUAUCCCUCCAAGGUACUGCAGUCAGAAUGGAAUUCACAACAAGUAGAACCAGAACGAGUCCUGAGCCGCGAACCUGAAACAAAAUUAGCAAACGUUCAAGCAAACUGAACGCACCCCUGGUCUCCACCCCCCCUAAACCUCUGGUCUCCACCCCCCCUCAAUACUGGUCUACACCCCCCUCAAUACUCUGGUCUUCACCCCC
rnacentral:lncRNA from 1 species